AGAAGAGGCGGAGCCUAUCUCUCAUCAGGACCAGUCUGACUGCACCUGCAUCCUUAGCUCAGAGCAUCCCUGGAGCAUCUAAGAGGAAAGCGCAGCUAGCAACCAGGGAUCGUACUGCAGGGGCAAUCGGUCAUGCACCUUCCCCUCCCCUGAUCUGGAGGUCUACAGCCGCGGCCUCGGUACUGACCGAGAUUCCCAAAGUUGUCUGACCUCUGCAAAAGUGUUUCUAUCAACAGCCUCUGAUUACAACAUGGCUGAGAUCACAAAUAUACGCCCCAGCUUUGGGGUGUGCUGGAGAGCUUCGCGUACCUACAAGGAAUACUUGCACUGGUCAGCAUCCUUCUGUGGGCCUGCAAUCCUAACCGACAAGGGCACAGAAGGCAGCUGUGCUCACACGGCUCUGAGAGCUCCCUUCACAGGCACUCCUCUGACCCAAGGAGUAACAACACACAGAACAAGCAGCAAGGCACAACUCCUUUCCUCGGAGGGGCAACUGGACAGCCUUUAACCCUUUAAAAACCAGGGACUGAUUUUCACGGGUUCUGACUUCAGCACUGCAUCAUCCAGAUAAAAAAACAUUACACUUUGGUUAUUCGCUCUGGAUGCCAGUGAGAUGUCUCAAUAGACAAACCUGCCCCUGAGCCUGCUGAUGGCCUGAACUUACUUCCUGGGACCCACAUGGUAGAGGGAGAAACAACAGCCAAAGCUGUCCGGUGUACUAUGGCCACGAACAUGAAGUUCUCUCAAGGUCGUAGCAAACAGACGGUCCUAUGGCCCACGGUUCCAACAGGAAGUAGGACAGCCACCUCUGACUUUACCACACUGCUCACUUCUGGCUUCAGUGCUAAGCCAAGAAAUAAUGCAAAUACAGACAAAGAGAGAAGCCUUGCCUGCUGCAUCUGCUGCUGAAGCCUGCUCCUCUGUGCUGGGUCGAGGACCAGAGUCUGAUGGGCUGCCUCCUCCUGCGGUUUCAGCUUCUCCACCUCAGGCUGCUGUCUGACUGAGGGUUUCUUCAUCUUCAGCUGCUCCAGCAGCUCCUUCACUGUCCGGUGCCGCUCAUUUAGUAAGUUGGCCAACGGCUCCUCAAACCUGUUCCCAACAAGGAUAGAACAUGCAUUUUCUCCUAGGUCCACAAAACAGCAAAUUCCUUGUAACAACAAAACAUGAACAUCUGUUUUACUUUGAUCAUGAUGGCUCACUAUUCUUGACCCUUAAGCAAAUAUUUCCCUUGACUGUUAGCACUGUAUUCAAAUAAAAGAAGUCUGGUGUUAGAGGAUAGUUUGAGCUCAUAUCUAGAAUGCUUGAAGCCCUGGGUCAAUCUCCAACUAUUCCAAAGAAUAUUCUGAAAUGUUUUCCACCUUACUGUAACACAAUUACUUCUCUGUAUAAAACACACAGAGAAAAGAAAUGAAAUGAAAAUCUAGAAGCAGAGAAACAACAGUGUAGUACAAUGCCACAGGCUAGUGGGACUUCAUCAUCCUUGCAUUGUACUAACACAUACUACUUUAUGAGUUCUUCCAAAUUGAAGGGACUCUAGCUAGCUCCAGUGUGACAAGCAUGGCUCCGGCAGGCCUUGCCCCUCUCUCCCAUUCCUUCCAGCUUGCUAACAACCAUUAGAGCUAGCCAGCAAGGUUGAUUCCUUUACUUGGCUACUUCCUCCUCUUGAGGCUGACAAAGUAUUUAAGUCCAGCAAUCAAAAAGUUCCCUUUAGGUCACCUAAUUAAGAUGCCCACUUAAAAUUAAAACACCUCAUCCUAACACAGGCUUUUCCCUUGUACCUUUAUAAACCACAACUUGCCUAUGGACCCUGUCUGUCUCCUCUCAAUUCAGAGGCAGUCCUUUGUCUUCUGGGAGAAAGACUCCUCCCACUUUUCCCCUGUACCCUUCCCCUUCUCAGCUAUCCUCUAUCUCCUGUCUUUGACCUUUAUCCCUGCUCUCUGUCUCUCUGGGGCAAAUAAAUCUCCUUUGUGCUGAGAACUUUGUCUUGGCGGUCCUUGGCUGACACUCUUCCUAACACCAACAGAACAAAGUAUAUUCCAAAAGUAUAGCACUUGGUCUCUCAGUGCCCUGCUAAGCCAGCCCUCUUCAUUCAUUUCUUUAAAAAACUCAAAGCCAUGAAUGAGGAUGCACUAGAAUGGAGAACACUUGUUUUGUAAGUAUUAGUUCUGGGUUUUAUUGUCAGCAUCAGAAACAAACAAAACAAAAAUAACAAAUAAGUCUAGCAAGACCUUUCAACAAUGUAACAAGAAAGAAAUACACUAAAAUCUAACAGCUCAGAUGAAGAGAGAUGAGUUGUUAGUUCAAACAUUACUAUACAACCACCAUGAAAAUAACUUUUUUUUUUUGGGUUUUUUCUGAGACAGGGUUUCUCUGUGUAUCCCUGGCUGUUCUGGAACUCACUUCAGCCAUUCAAAUUCCUUUCUCAUGCUUCCUGACCGUACCAGAACACCCUGACCAUAACUGCUCCCCUACAUCUUGUUCUGGGUAAAAAUAAAACAAAAGAUAAAGGUGACAAUAUUCAGAAAAAGAGCUGCUCACAUGGCCACGACCAACAAGUUAUCAAAUUCCCAGGAGCCUUCAGUAUUAUAGCAAUAGAUAAAAGAUAUCUUUUUGUCUUAGUCGGGGUUUCUAUUCCUGCACAAACAUCAUGACCAAGAAGCAAGUUGGGGAGGAAAGGGUUUAUUCGGCUUACACUUCCACAUUGCUGUUCAUCACCAAGGAAGUCAGGACUGGAACUCAAGCAGGUCAGAAAGCAGGAGCUAAUGCAGAAGCCAUGGAGGGAUGUUCCUUACUGGCUUGCUUCCCCUGGCUUGCUCAGCCUGCUCUCUUAUAGAACCAAGACUACCAACACAGAGAUGGUCCCACCCACAAGGGGCCUUUCCCCCUUGAUCACUAAUUGAGAAAAUGCCUUACAGUUUGAUCUCAUGGAGGCAUUUCCUCAACUAAAGCUCCUUUCUCUGUGAUAACUCCAGCUGUGUCAAGUUGACACACAAACCAGACAGUACACUUUUGUAAUAGGUUGAAGAUAUUUUCUUUUUUCUUUAGAUUUAUUUACAUUUAUUUCCUGUCUAUGAGUGUUAUGCCAACAUGUAUGUCUGUGUACCACACUGUUGUAUAGAAGUUUUCUCCAAGAUCAAGGCAUCCCAUCAUUCAGGGAAGCUCUUCAUGCAAGUUAGAAAAUAAUUCAAAAAUAGCUUUAGGAAGUCACUGAAAUUGAACAAACUCACUAGACCCCUCCUUCCUAAGAGAAAACAAUCAUAAGGGCUAAGAGUGAGUCUAAGAUAAAUCAAGCUGCAAACAGAAAGGAUCAGCCAAGCAUCCUAAAAAGCAGAAACCAGCAGAGCAGCCUGGAAGAAGGUUAGAUCAACAGGCCCACAUAGAAAGAACACCCCAAACUGUUUAGCUGCCUGUAGUGUGCUCUAGGUUUCCAGAUUUGGUGAGCUGUCACCCACGCUGGGGUGAGUUUUGGGUGAUUCAGCUGUCAUUGAGUCAUCCUACUUCUUUAAUUAACCCAAUAAAACUCACUGGAUGUGACUGGACAGAUGGCUCAGCAGUUAAGAGCAAUGACUGCUCUUCCAGUGGUCCUGAGUUCAAAUCCCAGGAACUACAUGGUAGCUCACAACCGUCUGUAGUGGGAUCCAAUGCCCUCUUCUGGUGUGUCUGAAGACAGCUACAAUGUACUCAUAUACAUAAAAUAAAUAAAUUUC
rnacentral:lncRNA from 1 species